AUUCUAUUUGCUCUUGUUUAUUUUUAAAUCAAUGUAACAAUAUUAUACAGUUUACAAAAUGUCAAUGUGAAAAAAAAACGACACAAAAACGAUGAAAAAACUCUCAGUUUGUUCUCUUUUUACACAAGCAAUUUUUGGCGAAUAUGUUGCAUGGAAAUACAACUGUCUCAAUUAUCAAUAGAUCUAUCAAUAUCUUUUGUUGUUAACAUUAUGUAAUAAAUGCGACUUUAUUCUGUAUACAUAUAAAGUAGUUAGUAUUUUUAUGCAAAGAGCAAUGUGAAUAAAAUACGGGAGAGAAUCAUUGAGAGCAUUUUACGUUUAUAUCUGAGAAAGAAGUAUAAGGUAAUACUUCUAUUGCCAAUGUCUGAGAAAGAAGUAUAAGGUAAUACUUCUAGUGUCAAUGUCUGAGAAAGAAGUAUAAGGUAAUACUUCUGUUGUCAAUGUCUGAGAAAGAAGUAUAA